GUGUAGCAAACACGCAAAAAAAAAGGGCUAAAAACAGAUACUAAAAGUGAAACAAAUAUUCAUAGAUAUACAGGCUUCCAAAGCAGCAAGGAAUCCUAGGGCUACAAAUGAGCCAAGUUGCCCAUGAGCUACUUGGAGCUUGGCUUGAAAAUUUUAACUCAAGUUUGUUUGUUAAAAUUAAUUAACUCAUUCUUAAGGUCAGUCUAAUAAUUGAGUCAAGCUUGAGCUAAGUAAAACUCGGCUUAUUUAGGCUCGUGAGCCAGCACAUUUGUAAGCAUGUAUAUAAAUUUGUUAAUAAUCUGAUUUCAAUGCUAAAUUUUAUAAUAUGCAUAAGAAUACUCAAAAUUGUUCAUUAAAAAAGUCAUAUUGAAUAUAAAAGUUCUCAAUUUUAUGAUAUAUACUCAUAUUAUAAUCCUUAAAGGUUACAUAUUUUAUCAUACAAAUUAUAUAAAAGAACAAGUAUUGGUAAGUGCAUUAAAAUUUUAAAAUAAAAAUUGUAAUUUUGUUGAAUUAUUCUGUGAACAUGUAUUACAACUUCUAUUGAGAAAGUUUGGUUAGUUUCUGCUUGUUUAACAAAUGACCAACAUAUGAACACGGUUAUGCCCAGGUUGGCCUGACUGGUUUAGUAAAUGAGCCAAUUGAGCCAAGCCUAACUGCCUAAGCCCAAAUGCAUGGUUCAUUUUGUAAACAAGCCAAAGCUAAGCUCAUCCAGCUCAGGCUUGGCUCAGCUUAUUUGCAAUCCUAGAUGAUCCAGUGCAACAUGUGAUAUGUGAUGGUGACACUAUCGAUAUUUGCAGAGCAAACCAAAAGAAAGGUCAUGAAAAGUUACAAUGUAUUUAGAAGUGGAGGUAUCAUUAUAACUCCACAUUUCAGUUGAGUCAUGUAACAGCCAUGCACAUUUAUCAUCCCAA
rnacentral:misc_RNA from 1 species